rnacentral:rRNA from 1 species
AUGGACUCCAAGAUGUUGCGCUCCGCCGUCAUCGCGGCCGCCGUCGCCGUGUCCACGCUCGCGGGGGUCGCCUACGCCGUCGACCCGCCGGCCGCCGCGCCGGGCCCCGGCGGCCACGCCACCUCCGGCGCCGCCGCCCUGUCGUCGUCGUCCAUGGUCGCCGCCGUCCUCUGCCCGGCCGUCGCGCUCCUCUUCGCCAACCUGCGCCACUGA